GAUUGAACUUAAGAGUUUGAUCCUGGCUCAGAUUGAACGCUGGCGGCAUGCUUUACACAUGCAAGUCGAACGGCAGCACGGGCUUCGGCCUGGUGGCGAGUGGCGAACGGGUGAGUAAUGCAUCGGAACGUGCCCAUUUGUGGGGGAUAACGCGGCGAAAGUCGCGCUAAUACCGCAUACGCCCUGAGGGGGAAAGCGGGGGAUUCUUCGGAACCUCGCGCAAUUGGAGCGGCCGAUGUCAGAUUAGCUAGUUGGUAGGGUAAAGGCCUACCAAGGCGACGAUCUGUAGCGGGUCUGAGAGGAUGAUCCGCCACACUGGGACUGAGACACGGCCCAGACUCCUACGGGAGGCAGCAGUGGGGAAUUUUGGACAAUGGGGGCAACCCUGAUCCAGCCAUGC
rnacentral:rRNA from 1 species